UUAAAGAGACAUACAUAGAUCAUAAUAACAGCUACCAAAAGUGAUAUUUAUUUAUUUUGAUAUCAUCAUACUAAUAUUUUAUAGGUUUCAUCAAAUAAAGGGAAACAGAAUGAAUUGUUUACUUUAUGGCAAAAACAGAAGACUAAAACUAAUAAUUCAAAGCAAAUUAAAGUGGAAACAACUGACUUAAGAUCAUCGCUAAUUAAGUCAAAUGACGAUACUAAAAAAUUUGAAGACAAACAUUUGGAAUCAUUAAAUAAUGAAAAUAAAAUAAAUUCUGCAGAAAAUGAAACAGCAGUAAAAGAAGAGAAGGUUUUAAAAACUAGAAAUUUAAACAGAAAAGAGA